ACUGUGGCACACAGGACACGGACCUUCAUGGAAGUCCUUGCUCUGCGUGGCAUCUGUCA
rnacentral:pre_miRNA from 1 species